rnacentral:rRNA from 1 species
AACUUUCAACAACGGAUCUCUUGGCUCUGGCAUCGAUGAAGAACGCAGCGAAACGCGAUAAGUAAUGUGAAUUGCAGAAUCCAGUGAAUCAUCGAAUCUUUGAACGCACAUUGCGCCCGCCAGCAUUCUGGCGGGCAUGCCUGUUCGAGC